rnacentral:lncRNA from 1 species
GUUUCCACAAUGCUUUUGUUUUGAUUUAUGCAUUUCAUGCCAUGAUUAAAUUAUGUUAUGUUAAAUGUUGCACUGUGGUGAAAUGCCAAAAUGAUCCUACGGGAUAUGCUGGUAAGUUCGGGUAAGCUUAUUAUAUUGUUUACAAUCAUUGAAUCAUUAUGGCAUGCAUAUAGUCAUGUAGUGUUCAUCAUUGCUGCACCCCGGUGUUAGUGCUCCCGGCCCGGGCUAGGGCUAGCCUUCACGUGAUUGUUCACCUUCUGUAUCGAACGCUCGCCUUGGAUCCAAGUUAGGAGCUAGCAUGUCGUACAGGUCGCAUUAGGCGACUCUGACUCAUAGGUGACCGCGCAAAGCGCUAGCUUCACGUGAUCGUAGAACUAAAGCGUAUAUUAUUACACCUAGCCUGUCGUACAAGUCACAUUAGGUGACUCCGACUCGUGUGCUAGCAUAGAUUGAUGAGCCAUAGGUGCAGUGGUACAAGUCAUAUUAGGUGACUCCGACUUGUGUGCUAGUAUCGAUUAUUGAGCAUAUGAUUAUAUUUAUAUUGCUAAUGAGAUACCUUGUUGAGGCAUACUUCUGGAUUUACUGUUAGCAUGCAUUUGAUUUCAUAUGCUCAAUAUUUAGUACAUGAAGUUUUUUUCGUCCCAAAGUCAUACCUGAAGUGUUAAUUUUGGGACAGUCUCAUACAUCUGUUAGUCUGGCUGUUAAGUUUUCCGUUAACUGAUGAUUAGGGUUUCACCAAAGUGAUGGUGGAAGGGGACUCUAAACUCAUCAUUGAUGUUGUGCAAGGUCAAUGGGGAAUUCCUUGGAGAGUCAGCUCUAUAAUCAAUGAUAUUCGUAUCCUAACUCGAUCUUUUAGCCAUGUUGACUGGAAGCACAUUUUCAGGGAGGCAAACUUUGUUGCGGAUGGUUUAGCUCACCUUGGUCUCUCCCUUUUGAAUCCUCAUUAUUGGGAUUUCUAUUUACCUGAUGUUGCUCUUGUUGCCUUUAAUUUUGAUUGUAUUAAAAACGGUUGUACUAGAGGAUUCGUGCUUUAAUGAAUUUCUUUGCAUAAAAAAAAGAAGCAAUAAAUCGCUAAUAUUGAAAAUAAAAGUUUUAAACAGUUGUUUGUGAAAAUUAACUCUAUAGUGGCUAACUUAAACACCCCUGGGCAUUGGCAUAAAUCAAGUCUAGC